UGAAGCUGGAUUCGCUAGUAAUCGCGCAUCAGCCAUGGCGCGGUGAAUACGUUCCCGGGCCUUGUACACACCGCCCGUCAAGCCAUGGAAGCCGGGGGUGCCUGAAGUGUGCAGCCGCAAGGAGCGCCCUAAGGUAAAACCGGUGACUGGGGCUAAGUCGUAACAAGGUACC
rnacentral:rRNA from 1 species